rnacentral:lncRNA from 1 species
GUGGUUCGAGAUGGGGCCGCCGCACAUAGCCGGCGCUCAUCCAGGAGCAGCGGCACCGGCUGCUCCAACUGAUGGGGGCGUCCGGUGACCCUUCUCCCGUGUGAUUUGAGAUGGGGUCGUCAGGUUCUCCUGUCGCACGGUCCAGAUCUGACGGGGCCACAUCAGCCUCCACGGCAAAGCCUCGGACUGGAGGCGUCCACCAGUUCAUGAUGAGGUAGGAGUUCGAGCUCCACAAGGCUGGUACAGGGCGAAAGCUUACUGUGCAGCAGUUCGAGCUAUUCAUCAGCCGCUCCCCCAGUCUCAUUCUCUUCACGGGCAUUGUUCUCUGUCGGUUAGGUCCUCCAGCUUCUAGGUACUCUUUCAUUGGUUCCUCAGUUGCUGGCCGACCAACACCAAGGUCCUCAAGCUGCAUUAUUAAUACCACUAAUUCUGUAGUAUGUUGCAAAGCUCCACGUGAUUUAUAAGUAAAGGUUCUUAAUCAGUUGAUUGAUUUAGUGCCAAAACGUACUAUUGUUUCAGUAUUUUCUUGCCACCGAUCUUAGUUGUUUAUUUUCCACCGAUUGUAGUUGUGUUUAUGAUUUUUUUGUUGUAUACCUCACUUAGUCAACAAUCGAACCGAUGUUUAUCAGAUGUUUAUAGAAGAGCACAAGUUUCAGUCUUCAUCAGUUGAUUGGUUCAGCAUUUUAACGCAUUAUUGUUUCAGUUGUUUGUUUGACAUUGAUCUUUAACAACUAUUCAUACUUGUGAUAUUACCACCGAAGUUUGGUGGUAUUACCACAAAACAAGGAUCCGUGAGAUUUUUUUCUUUUCAUUCUACUUGGAAUCGCAUAUGAACCACACCAUUGUACCAAAAGUUCUUAUUUUAUUUUCCAUUGCAGGUCGCAGGGUUACUACAAGCAACAAUAAUUCCUUGUGAUUUAUCGAAUGAUGAUAAAAUUUGUAGAGCAACUGGGCUCAUUGUUGUGAUCUACCAUCGUCAACGACAUUGAUAUUUCACACCCAUCUCAAUCUGGUGCCGCCUGUGUUGGCCAUGAUACAUCUGCAGCCCUUGAAGUCGUGUUUGCUCUCUGUGCUAGGCUGCAGUCUUUCUUGAGGCGUCCGUUUAUACCGCCCCACCCAUCCAGGUUUCAAUUGAAGAGGAACAAGUGUAUAGCCUACAGGUGGUUCUUCAAUCCAAUGAUUUUCCUCAUAUGUUUCUAAGAUAAAUAGUCACUAUUUUCUGUUAUACCUAUGGAUUUUAAUUUCUGUUAUACAAUAUUUGUCUCCAUGCAAUCCAAAUGCUAUACAUCAUCAAUAAUCUAUUGGUCAAGUGAAUUCAGUUACCUGAGAAAAAUUAAAAGCUGCAGUUUAGGCCCUACACUAGCAAUUUGUAGUGUAGUAAUAUCUUUAAAUCAUCAGCCAUAUAUGAAAUAUAU